rnacentral:rRNA from 1 species
CAAAUGAAUUGACGGGGGCCCGCACAAGCGGUGGAGCAUGUGGUUUAAUUCGAUGCAACGCGAAGAACCUUACCUGGUCUUGACAUCCACAGAACUUUCCAGAGAUGGAUUGGUGCCUUCGGGAACUGUGAGACAGGUGCUGCAUGGCUGUCGUCAGCUCGUGUUGUGAAAUGUUGGGUUAAGUCCCGCAACGAGCGCAACCCUUAUCCUUUGUUGCCAGCGGUCCGGCCGGGAACUCAAAGGAGACUGCCAGUGAUAAACUGGAGGAAGGUGGGGAUGACGUCAAGUCAUCAUGGCCCUUACGACCAGGGCUACACACGUGCUACAAUGGCGCAUACAAAGAGAAGCGACCUCGCGAGAGCAAGCGGACCUCAUAAAGUGCGUCGUAGUCCGGAUUGGAGUCUGCAACUCGACUCCAUGAAGUCGGAAUCGCUAGUAAUCGUGGAUCAGAAUGCCACGGUGAAUACGUUCCCGGGCCUUGUACACACCGCCCGU